GCUUAACAAAUUUUAAAAUUCAAAACAACAACAAGUCAUCAAACAAAGAUUCUAGAUUGAGAAGGUUUUAGGUUGUUAAAAAUUAGAAUUAAUUGCAUAUUUGGUCUCUUAUGUUUAUUUUAGGUUUCAAUUUGGUCCCUUAUCUUUUAAAAGUUUCAAGUUGGUCCUUUUUCUCAAAUUUUAGUUUAAAUCGUCGACUUUUCUAAUGAAUGUGCGUACGUAGACUACUUAGGAGAGUACAAUGUGAAUGUUUUAGAAAAAUUAACUCAAAAUUUAACAAAAAGUUAGAAAAAAUUAACUCAAAAUUUAACGAAAACGAUAAACUUAUGUUGAGAUCAAUAACAUAAGGAACCAACUUGAAACUUUUAAAAGAUAAGAGACCAAAUUAAAACCUAAAAUAAACGUAAGAGACUAAAUAUGUCUC
rnacentral:lncRNA from 1 species